rnacentral:rRNA from 1 species
GACGAACGCUGGCGGCGUGCUUAACACAUGCAAGUCGAACGCUGAAGCUCAGCUUUUGUUGGGUGGAUGAGUGGCGAACGGGUGAGUAACACGUGAGUAACCUGCCCCCUUCUUUGGGAUAACGCCCGGAAACGGGUGCUAAUACUGGAUAUUCACUGGUCUUCGCAUGGGGGUUGGUGGAAAGGGUUUUUCUGGUGGGGGAUGGGCUCGCGGCCUAUCAGCUUGUUGGUGGGGUGAUGGCCUACCAAGGCUUCGACGGGUAGCCGGCCUGAGAGGGUGACCGGUCACAUUGGGACUGAGAUACGGCCCAGACUCCUACGGGAGGCAGCAGUGGGGAAUAUUGCACAAUGGGCGCAAGCCUGAUGCAGCGACGCCGCGUGAGGGAUGGAGGCCGUCGGGUUGUGAACCUCUUUCGCUCAUGGUCAAGCCGCAACAAUGGUUGUGGUGAGGGUAGUGGGUAAAGAAGCGCCGGCUAACUACGUG